AGUGCCGUAUGUGCUUGGAUUUGUGGGCUCGAGACCCAAAGGGUCAGGUGGCGAAACUUGGUGUGAGGACCCAGGAACUUGGCUUGUUGCCGAUAGAGGCGGUGGUUCAGGACACGACCUGGAACUGGCUGCGCAAGUGCAGACCACGUUUUCUUAUGUAACAUCAACUUGACACUGCAAGGCCUAGGACGCAUGUGCCACACACCGCCUUGCUUAGAUCAUCCCACAGCACAAUGAUAUAAAAGCUGUUGGAAUAAAGUAGCUGAUGCUGAUUCCUCCUCAUGUCGGCUCCCAGAGCUUUCUUUACCCUGGGCAUCUCACUGCGGAAACCUCCCCUGCAACCCCCGGUGCAUGACGCUUGGCAUAGUCGGCAGGAUGAGAGCUAGAUGCUGGAGCACGCAGCCUUCGAGAUGCCCUGGCAGGCUAGGGGUGGGCCAUCAACAAGGACAAAGUCCAAGGGCCUGGAAACUCUGUCAAGUCCUUGGGUGUUGUUUGGUCAGAGGGGAGACCUACGACUGCUUUGUUUCCUGGAUGCAGCUGGGUGGACUUUCUCCCUAGUAGCCUCUGCUUUCAGGAAUCUUCACUCUGGGUCCCGCCCUCAGUGGUGAAAUGCCUCAUGUGCCAUUUCUGUUCUGGCCACAUCGGGAAUUAACCUCCACGUCCAACAAGAGGUAAGCGGUGGGCCAGCCCUGGGGGUUCCAUGAGAGCCAUGCAGAUGGGCCAAGGCAGAAGAAGUAACUAUCUGCAUGGUGUUUAUUGAAAGCUAUUAUGUGAGUUUAAAAAAAAAAAAAGUUUAAAAGGUGGAAGGGUCUCUUCUUUGGCCACACAUAUGCUGGGUUUCCCAGCUCUGUGUCAGGAGUUACUGGGAAUUGUGACAGCCUUGCUGGGAUCAUCUGCUUCCUGG